ensembl:snRNA U6 U6 spliceosomal RNA
GCGUUCAGCUUGGCAGCAAUAUAUAUUCUAAAAUUAGAAUGAUACAGGGAAGUUUAGCAUGGCCCCUGCACAAAGAUGACAUGUAAAUUCAUAAAACGAUUCAUUUUUUU